rnacentral:tRNA from 1 species
GAUGCAAAAUGGUUAAGCGCUUGGCUGCUAACCAAAAGGUUGGUGGUUCGAACCCACUUAUCA